rnacentral:rRNA from 1 species
GGGAUAUUGCACAAUGGAGGGAACUCUGAUGCAGCGACGCCGCGUGAGGGAAGAAGGUUUUCGGAUUGUAAACCUCUGUCUUCGGUGACGAAACGAGACGGUAGCCGAGGAGGAAGCCACGGCUAACUACGUGCCAGCAGCCGCGGUAAUACGUAGGUGGCAAGCGUUGUCCGGAAUUACUGGGUGUAAAGGGAGCGUAGGCGGGAAAGCAAGUUGAAUGUUUAAGGUACGGGCUCAACCUGUACAAGCGUUCAAAACUGUUUUUCUUGAGUGGAGUAGAGGUAAGCGGAAUUCCUAGUGUAGCGGUGAAAUGCGUAAAUAUUAGGAGGAACACCAGUGGCGAAGGCGGCUUACUGGGCUUUAACUGACGCUGAGGCUCGAAAGCGUGGGUAGCAAAC